rnacentral:rRNA from 1 species
GAUGAACGCUAGCGGCAGGCCUAACACAUGCCAGUCGAGGGAGAAGCCCUUUCGGGGGCAGAAACCGGCGCACGGGUGCGUAACGCGUAUGCAACCUACCUUUCACAGGGGGAUAGCCCGAAGAAAUUUGGAUUAAUACCCCAUAAUAUUAUUGGAUGGCAUCAUUUGAUAAUUAAAACUGCGGUGGUGAAAGAUGGGCAUGCGUCCUAUUAGCUAGUUGGAGUGGUAACGGCACCCCAAGGCUACGAUAGGUAGGGGUCCUGAGAGGGAGAUCCCCCACACUGGUACUGAGACAGGGACCAGACUCCUACGGGAGGCAGCAGUGAGGAAUAUUGGUCAAUGGUCGGAAGACUGAACCAGCCAUGCCGCGUGCAGGAAGAAUGCCUUAUGGGUUGUAAACUGCUUUAUAUGGGAAGAAUAAGGUGUACGUGUACAUUGAUGACGGUACCAUAUGAAUAAGCAUCGGCUAACUCCGUG